UACGUAGGUGGCAAGCGUUGUCCGGAAUUAUUGGGCGUAAAGCGCGCGCAGGCGGUCCUUUAAGUCUGAUGUGAAAGCCCACGGCUCAACCGUGGAGGGUCGUUGGAAACUGGGGGACUUGAGUGCAGAAGAGGAAAGCGGAAUUCCACGUGUAGCGGUGAAAUGCGUAGAGAUGUGGAGGAACACCAGUGGCGAAGGCGGCUUUCUGGUCUGUAACUGACGCUGAGGCGCGAAAGCGUGGGGAGCAAACAGG
rnacentral:rRNA from 1 species